GUGCGCGACACCUUGACCGCUAGGUGGAGUGCGGAAGUGAGGCGUUGAAACCCCAAAUUCCUUUUUGCUUCAGAUCUUAGUAACUUGGCUCCCAGCACAAAUUAAAACUUUUAUCUUUGCCCUAGGCCACCCCGUCCUCCUGAUCAACAACAGAGGCUUUAAACGAAGACUUACUGGAGAGUGCCGACUGUCCAAGAGAGCAAGGGGAUGAGAGGCUUGCACAGAGUGGGGAAAAAGAAGUUCUUCAGUGAGAUCUGGUUCUGAUUUACCAUUACCACUCUGUCUCUCUUGUGAAUGACAGCUACAGUAUCUUCUCACUUCUCCUGUUGGUGCUAUUGAAUCAACUCCAAUGGAAGUUGUCCAGCACUGUGGUGUCUAGCAAACUGAACGGAAGUUUAGAAUCACAGUUUAGAUAUUGACUGGUUUAUACAAAUGGCAAAGACAUAGAUUUGUGGGGACCAAAGGAUGAAAUAUUAUGGAUUGCAUUGUAUCUCUCCCAAAUAUAUGCCAACUUGCCUAAGCCUAA